GAGGGUACAGCUCAGUGGUAGAGCGCAUGCUUAGCACGCAGGAGGUCCUGAGUUCAAUCCCUAGUACCUCCA
rfam:Camelus ferus unplaced genomic scaffold scaffold672, whole genome shotgun sequence.